rnacentral:rRNA from 2 species
ACUUACCAGAGCACUAUGAAUUAUUUAUUUAAAACUCAAAGAACUUGGCGGUGCCUUAGACCCCUCAGGGGAACUUGUUUCGUAAUCGACAGUCCACGUUAGACCUUACCUUUCCUGGAAUUUCCAGUCUGUAUACCGUCGUCGCCAGGUAACUUUUAAAAAAUUAGAUGUUAGCAAAAAAGUGACCUAUAAACUUUCACGUCAGAUCAAGGUGCAGCCUAUGGAAAGGAGAGAAUGAGUUACAAUUAAUAUUUAUAAUUACGAAUCACAGCGAUGCAAAUCCUGUGUUGAAGGAGGACUUGAAAGUAAGAAAUAGAAUAUAUAUAUUU